GUGGAAAUUAGCCGUUCACUUCACAGGUGAGCGGCGGCAGCUCGAUCUACUCGAAAACAGCUUACAGAUAUAUCAGCAGUCCAGUUGGGUAGAGUUAGGGUAGUAAACAGGAAUCAUCAGUGGUGGCACCACCUAGCAAAGACAGCCAGCAGAAGGAGGGACUCCGGGAAACGUUCUUGGCUGUACCUCUCAGCAGAAGCGAAGAUCAGGGAAGAUGGGAGACCCACAAGCAUUGCACAGCAAGCUUUACACGCAAGCCGAGCUCAGCCCCCGUCACUGUCCGUUGAGCCCUAACCGAAUAUUAGGACUCAUGUGUCCUCCACGUGUCUUGCCUCAGCACAUGUGUCUGUCUCAGCUGACAUCACUUUGUCAAUCAGUCUGAGUCUGUGGAAGCGGCAAGAAACAGUAGCACACCGCAAGGAGGUUUUUGGUGUGUUUCUCUCUAUGGAGUCCUGACAAAUGGAGCUCAACUAUGCAAUGUAAGGCGGACCGAUAUAGUGUGUUGUUAGUGCAGAAUCCUUCAUCACAUGUCUUUUGAUGUGCUCUUCUGGCAGAACACCCUUUCUCCUGUGUCUGUUUUAGCCGAACGCUCCUUUAAGAGUCUGCAUUAGCUUCUCACCUGCGUCUACUUUAACGAAGUGUUCCUUUCCAUGUUUGCUCCAGUAAAACACCAUCUAACACAACUGACUUUCCAAAGAACCCUUAAAGUUUCCACUUCUGUUUCGCUUGCUCUUUAGCCUAUAUGGAAGCUCCUCUGUUCUGUUCUGUCGCUGGGUCGACUUCAUGUAUCUUUCCUUUGAACCUUGUCUCUUGUGUUAGUUCAUAGGUUUGCUUGUUUGUUCAUAUAAUAUUGGUUUUGGCUUUGAGCUUCCUGGGAUCAAGGGCUUUCUGUAUGCGCCUUGGCGCCACCCCAGUGUGGAGGGCAGAACAUGAUACCACCAACUCAGAGACUGGUCAAGCGUCAAUUUGGAACCAGUCAUCUAGGUAGCUCCCAAAAGAACCUUGCAGAAAAAUCUCCACCGUCAGCGAGUGCCAAACAUCUUAAUAAAUGGAAUCCUACCAUCAAGAACCGAUGCUGCUUAAGAUGCUGGCAGCCCCUCCGGAGGUUGGGUGGCAGAGGCCCGGAACAUGGCGGCAGAAGUCAUCCAAGGAUGCUACUUUGCAAACAGUGCUUAAUGUGGUAUGAGGCAAAGACGAUUUCUCUAGAUCCGGAAUAAGCAUGGCUGUCAGUGUAACUGUCAUUGCCUGAGUUAAAUAAAAAUUGGAACAUCAGAAAUCACAUUUUAAAAACUCAGUAAUCAUUUUUUUUUUACCCAUUACUUUUACCAAUACGUAUCUACUCACUGAUUCUUAUGGGAAUACAAGUGCCACAAAGAAAAAGGAAAUGAAAGAAAGAAUAAAAAAAACGAAAGAAAGAUAAAGCCCUUCUUUCAAGUCAAGAUGGAUAGGGGCUGCCAGACACCCAGGAGAGAUGUUUGGGUUUCUAGCUCUGUCUUUGGUUUGCAAUCUGCCAGGUGGGCCCCAGGAUUCAUCUGCAAGAGGUGGC